rnacentral:rRNA from 3 species
GUUGGGUAGGGGAGCGUUCUGUAAGCCUGUGAAGGUGGCCUGUGAGGGUUGCUGGAGGUAUCAGAAGUGCGAAUGCUGACAUAAGUAACGAUAAAGCGGGUGAAAAGCCCGCUCGCCGGAAGACCAAGGGUUCCUGUCCAACGUUAAUCGGGGCAGGGUGAGUCGACCCCUAAGGCGAGGCCGAAAGGCGUAGUCGAUGGGAAACGGGUUAAUAUUCCCGUACUUGGUGUUACUGCGAAGGGGGGACGGAGAAGGCUAUGUUGGCCGGGCGACGGUUGUCCCGGUUUAAGCGUGUAGGUGUGUGUUCCAGGUAAAUCCGGUUCACUUUAACACUGAGGCGUGACGACGAGGCACUACGGUGCUGAAGCAACAAAUGCCCUGCUUCCAGGAAAAGCCUCUAAGCAUCAGGUAACAUCAAAUCGUACCCCAAACCGACACAGGUGGUCAGGUAGAGAAUACCAAGGCGCUUGAGAGAACUCGGGUGAAGGAACUAGGCAAAAUGGUGCCGUAACUUCGGGAGAAGGCACGCUGACACGUAGGUGAAGUGAUUUACUCAUGGAGCUGAAGUCAGUCGAAGAUACCAGCUGGCUGCAACUGUUUAUUAAAAACACAGCACUGUGCAAACACGAAAGUGGACGUAUACGGUGUGACGCCUGCCCGGUGCCGGAAGGUUAAUUGAUGGGGUCAGCGCAAGCGAAGCUCCUGAUCGAAGCCCCGGUAAACGGCGGCCGUAACUAUAACGGUCCUAAGGUAGCGAAAUUCCUUGUCGGGUAAGUUCCGACCUGCACGAAUGGCGUAAUGAUGGCCAGGCUGUCUCCACCCGAGACUCAGUGAAAUUGAACUCGCUGUGAAGAUGCAGUGUACCCGCGGCAAGACGGAAAGACCCCGUGAACCUUUACUAUAGCUUGACACUGAACAUUGAGCCUUGAUGUGUAGGAUAGGUGGGAGGCUUUGAAGUGUGGACGCCAGUCUGCAUGGAGCCGACCUUGAAAUACCACCCUUUAAUGUUUGAUGUUCUAACGUGGACCCGUUACCCGGGUUGCGGACAGUGUCUGGUGGGUAGUUUGACUGGGGCGGUCUCCUCCUAAAGAGUAACGGAGGAGCACGAAGGUUGGCUAAUCCUGGUCGGACAUCAGGAGGUUAGUGCAAUGGCAUAAGCCAGCUUGACUGCGAGCGUGACGGCGCGAGCAGGUGCGAAAGCAGGUCAUAGUGAUCCGGUGGUUCUGAAUGGAAGGGCCAUCGCUCAACGGAUAAAAGGUACUCCGGGGAUAACAGGCUGAUACCGCCCAAGAGUUCAUAUCGACGGCGGUGUUUGGCACCUCGAUGUCGGCUCAUCACAUCCUGGGGCUGAAGUAGGUCCCAAGGGUAUGGCUGUUCGCCAUUUAAAGUGGUACGCGAGCUGGGUUUAGAACGUCGUGAGACAGUUCGGUCCCUAUCUGCCGUGGGCGCUGGAGAACUGAGGGGGGCUGCUCCUAGUACGAGAGGACCGGAGUGGACGCAUCACUGGUGUUCGGGUUGUCAUGCCAAUGGCACUGCCCGGUAGCUAAAUGCGGAAGAGAUAAGUGCUGAAAGCAUCUAAGCACGAAACUUGCCCCGAGAUGAGUUCUCCCUGAGACUUAGAGUCUCCUGAAGGAACGUUGAAGACGACGACGUUGAUAGGCCGGGUGUGUAAGCGCAGCGAUGCGUUGAGCUAACCGGUACUAAUGAACCGUGAGGCUUAACCUUACAACGCCGAAG